rnacentral:rRNA from 1 species
GUCUGCAACCCGACUACAUGAAGCUGGAAUCGCUAGUAAUCGCAGAUCAGAAUGCUGCGGUGAAUACGUUCCCGGGUCUUGUACACACCGCCCGUCACACCAUGGGAGUUGGAAAUGCCCGAAGUCGGUGAUCUAACCGAAAAGGGAGGAGCCGCCGAAGGCAGGUCUGAUAACUGGGGUGAAGUCGUAACAAGGUAUC